rnacentral:rRNA from 1 species
GGAGGGGGCUAGCGUUUGUUCGGAUUUACUGGGCGUAAAGGGCGCGUAGGCGGUAUGCCAUGUCAGGGGUGAAAGGCCUGGGCUCAACCCAGGAACUGCCUUUGAAACUGGCAAACUAGAGUCCGAUAGAGGAUGGCGGAAUUCCCAGUGUAGAGGUGAAAUUCGUAGAUAUUGGGAAGAACACCAGUGGCGAAGGCGGCCAUCUGGAUCGGCACUGACGCUGAGGCGCGAAAGCGUGGGGAGCAAACAGGAUUAGAUACCCUGGUAGUCCACGCCGUAAACGAUGUGUGCUAGACGUUGGGGGCCCUUAGGCCCUGAGUGUCGCAGCUAACGCGUUAAGCACACCGCCUGGGGAGUACGGCCGCAAGGUUA